rnacentral:SRP_RNA from 5 species
CGAGGCUCCUCACGUGGCGUCAUCCAGGCCAAUUCCCCCAGGGCAGAAAUGCAGCAAGGGUAACCGGGCUCUGACGGGUGCGUGAGGGGUCAUUUCU